UACAGAGGGUGCAAACGUUGCUCGGAAUUAUUGGGCGUAAAGCGCACGUAGGCGGUUCGUUAAGUCGGAUGUGAAAGCCCUAGGCUCAACCUAGGAAGUGCAUUCGAAACUGGCGAGCUUGAAUAUGGAAGAGGGUCGCGGAAUUCCCGGUGUAGAGGUGAAAUUCGUAGAUAUCGGGAAGAACACCAGUGGCGAAAGCGCUCUACUGGGCCAUAACUGACACUGAGGGACGAAAGCUAGGGGAGCGAAAGGG
rnacentral:rRNA from 1 species